AUGUCUGUAGGAUCCGAUAAUGAGACAAUCGAGGAUGUCGAUGAAACGAGCAUGUCCUCUGCUAUACCUAGCGAGGUUGAUCCAUUAGACUUUGUCUACACAAACAUCCCAAACACCACUCACAUCCUGAAACUCGACGCAAACUGCAAACACUGCAAGGCCAAAAAGUUUGUAUUUGAGACUGAUGGGUUCUGCUGUCGCAAUGGACAGAUCGAACUUAAACAACCGGAACCAGUCCCAGAGCUGAUGAGACUAUGGUCUAGCAUGGAUGCAGAUUCUAGACAUUUUCGGGAGAACAUACGGUUCUUCAACGGGCAUUUCGCCUUCACAACCCUUGGCGUCAGCCUUGAUGAGAACUACACAAACAUGAAGUCUGGGGUGUACACAUUCCGGGCACACGACACCAUCUACCACAAUGUGCACUCGUUCGGGCCUAGCUCCCGUCCAGAACAUCUGUAG
rnacentral:rRNA from 1 species